UCAUUUAAAGAGUGCGUAAUAGCUCACUAGUCGAGUGACACUGCGCCGAAAAUGUACCGGGGCUAAACAUAUUACCGAAGCUGUGGAUUGUCCUUUGGACAAUGGUAGGAGAGCGUUCUAAGGGCGUUGAAGCAUGAUCGUAAGGACAUGUGGAGCGCUUAGAAGUGAGAAUGCCGGUGUGAGUAGCGAAAGACGGGUGAGAAUCCCGUCCACCGAUUGACUAAGGUUUCCAGAGGAAGGCUCGUCCGCUCUGGGUUAGUCGGGUCCUAAGCUGAGGCCGACAGGCGUAGGCGAUGGAUAACAGGUUGAUAUUCCUGUACCACCUAUAAUCGUUUUAAUCGAUGGGGGGACGCAGUAGGAUAGGCGAAGCGUGCGAUUGGAUUGCACGUCUAAGCAGUAAGGCUGAGUAUUAGGCAAAUCCGGUACUCGUUAAGGCUGAGCUGUGAUGGGGAGAAGACAUUGUGUCUUCGAGUCGUUGAUUUCACACUGCCGAGAAAAGCCUCUAGAUAGAAAAUAGGUGCCCGUACCGCAAACCGACACAGGUAGUCAAGAUGAGAAUUCUAAGGUGAGCGAGCGAACUCUCGUUAAGGAACUCGGCAAAAUGACCCCGUAACUUCGGGAGAAGGGGUGCUCUUUAGGGUUAACGCCCAGAAGAGCCGCAGUGAAUAGGCCCAAGCGACUGUUUAUCAAAAACACAGGUCUCUGCUAAACCGUAAGGUGAUGUAUAGGGGCUGACGCCUGCCCGGUGCUGGAAGGUUAAGAGGAGUGGUUAGCUUCUGCGAAGCUACGAAUCGAAGCCCCAGUAAACGGCGGCCGUAACUAUAACGGUCCUAAGGUAGCGAAAUUCCUUGUCGGGUAAGUUCCGACCCGCACGAAAGGCGUAACGAUUUGGGCACUGUCUCAACGAGAGACUCGGUGAAAUCAUAGUACCUGUGAAGAUGCAGGUUACCCGCGACAGGACGGAAAGACCCCGUGGAGCUUUACUGUAGCCUGAUAUUGAAAUUCGGCACAGCUUGUACAGGAUAGGUAGGAGCCUUUGAAACGUGAGCGCUAGCUUACGUGGAGGCGCUGGUGGG
rnacentral:rRNA from 1 species